rnacentral:rRNA from 1 species
CCUACGGGUGGCAGCAGUGGGGAAUAUUGCACAAUGGGGGAAACCCUGAUGCAGCGACGCCGCGUGAGUGAAGAAGUAUUUCGGUAUGUAAAGCUCUUUCAGCAGGGAAGAAAAUGACGGUACCUGACCAAUAAGCCACGGCAAAGUACGUCCCAGCAGCCGCGGUAAUACGUAGGGGGCAAGGUUUAUCCGGAUUUACUGGGUGUAAAGGGAGCGUAGGCGGGCGGUUAUGUCAGCGGUAAAAGCCCGGGGCUCAACCCGGGCGAGCCGUUGAUACUGGCUGUCUUGAGAUGUCGAGAGGGAUGCGGAAUGCGCAGUGUAGCGGUGAAAUGCUUAGAUAUUGCGCAGAACACCGAUUGCGAAGGCAGCAUACCGGAGGAGGUCUGACGCUGAGGCACGAAAGCGUGGGUAUCGAACAGGAUUAGAUACCCUGGUAGUC